UACGUAGGGGGCGAGCGUUGUCCGGAUUUAUUGGGCGUAAAAGGCUUGUAGGUGGCCACGCCAAGUCGGAUGUGAAAUCUCCCGGCUCAACUGGGAGGGGUCAUUCGAUACUGGCGGGCUCGAGGCCGGUAGGGGGAAGCGGAAUUCCCGGUGUAGUGGUGGAAUGCGUAGAUAUCAGGAGGAACACCGGUGGCGAAGGCGGGAUCUCUGGGCCUUACCUG
rnacentral:rRNA from 1 species